GGGGCCUUAGCUCAGCUGGGAGAGCGCUUGCAUGGCAUGCAAGAGGUCAGCGGUUCGAUCCCGCUAGGCUCCACCA
rnacentral:tRNA from 32 species